AAGUCGUAACAAGGUUUCCGUAGGUGAACCUGCGGAAGGAUCAUUAUUUGAUUCGAAAUCGGAGGUAUUAUGUACCGCCAAUUUUCACCGUGAACUGUUUCUUGUACUAGUGUUAUUUUUUUUCUAUUUCAUUCUUCGGAAUGCAUCAAUUGAAAGACAACUUUCAGCAAUGGAUCUCUUGGCUCUU
rnacentral:misc_RNA from 1 species